CCUACGGGUGGCAGCAGUAGGGAAUCUUCCACAAUGGGCGAAAGCCUGAUGGAGCAACGCCGCGUGGGUGAAGAAGGUCUUCGGAUCGUAAAACCCUUUUGUUAGAGAAGAAAGUGCGGGAGAGUAACUGUUCACGUUUCGACGGUAUCUAACCAGAAAGCCACGGCUAACUACGUGCCAGCAGCCGCGGUAAUACGUAGGGGGCAAGCGUUAUUCGGAUUUAUUGGGCGUAAAGGGCACGCAGGCGGUCUGUUAAGUCUGAUGUGAAAGCCUUCGGCUUAACCUGAGAAGUGCAUCUGAGACUGGGAGACUUGAGUGCAGAAGAGGAGAGUGGAACUCGAGGUGUAGCGGUGAAAUGCGUAGAUAUGUGGAAGAACACCAGUGGCGAAGGCGGCCCUCUGGUCUGUAACUGACGCUGAGGUGCGAAAGCGUGGGGAGCAAACAGGAUUAGAUACCCCGGUAGUC
rnacentral:rRNA from 1 species